rnacentral:rRNA from 1 species
ACUACGGGUGUCAGCAGUGAGGAAUAUUGGUCAAUGGACGAGAGUCUGAACCAGCCAAGUAGCGUGAAGGAUGACUGCCCUAUGGGUUGUAAACUUCUUUUAUAUGGGAAUAAAAUGUUCCACGUGUGGGAAUUUGUAUGUACCAUAUGAAUAAGGAUCUGCUAACUGCGGGAACGCAGCCGCGUUAAUACGGAGGAUCCGAGAGUUAUCCGGAUGUCUUUGGUUUACAGGGAGCGUAGGUGGAUUGUUAAGUCGGUUGUGACAGUUUGCGGCACAACCGUAAAAUUGCAGUUGAAACUGGCAGUCUUGAGUACAGUAGAGGUGGGCGGAAUUCGUGGUGUAGCGGUGAAAUGCUUAGAGAUCACGAAGAACUCCGAUUGCGAAGGCAGCUCACUGGACUGCAACUGACACUGAGGCUCGAAAGUGUGGGUAUCAAACAGGAUUAGAUACCCCAGUAGUC